AGAGCCUGAGCUAGUCAGAAGCAACAGUUGCUACUGCGUCCCCCGGACAUUGGGAGAAUCGUUUUCCUUGGGCAGCUGGUUCCAGACCCCCACCAGUCCUCUAGACUCCAGGCCAAUCAGUUGCUAAGGGACGUUCCUCUCUCAACCUGCACUUAUCAACAUUUUAAGCUAUAAAUUCGUCUGCAUUUCUUCAUCGUCUGUCUAUGUAGACCAUGACUCCACGGAGGCAGGUGAAGUCAAGAACCUGAACUGGCCCACCAGCUACAAAGCCAGAGCGUGCCCACCACUUCUGUACUUGCAAAAGAUGUGUUUGCAAAACGGGUCACCAGAGCCUGUGGGUGAGCAGUUGUGCAGGAGGGUCAAUGCUCACACGAUGAAGAUGACGCAGAAGGACAGGAAGACCAGGGCUGUGGCUCCAGCUCCCCCGACCACCCCCAGCAUCACUCCUGAUACAGGCCAUGUGGUGCCUGCAGAUGGAUUGGAGUUAUCUCUGGGAUUUACCUUCAAUAACUGGGUCUCCUCACCUUCUGCUGCCUGUAAGGCCCUCGACUUUGAUUCUCCUCCCAGCUUUCCCAGACACAAAGAGCGGGCAUCAGAAGGAGGAGGAUUACGGACUUCUGGUGAGGCCAGUGAGGCAUGACAGUGCUGGGUGCAGUUUUUUUUUUAAUUUAAAAUUUUGAUUUGUAUUCGCCAUGGAAUUAUUUUGCAUUAAUUUUUAUUUUUUAAAAA